rnacentral:rRNA from 1 species
UCCAGCCUACGGGGCGCAGCAGUAGGGAAUCUUCCACAAUGGACGAAAGUCUGAUGGAGCAACGCCGCGUGAGUGAAGAAGGGUUUCGGCUCGUAAAGCUCUGUUGGUAGUGAAGAAAGAUAGAGGUAGUAAAUGGCCCUUAUUUGAAGGUAAUUACUUAGAAAGCCACGGCUAACUACGUGCCAGCAUCCGCGGUAAUACGUCGGUGGCAAGCGUUCUCCGGAUUUAUUGGGCGUCA